GCGCCCGUAGCUCAGUUGGAUAGAGCACUAGCCUUCUAAGCUUGUGGUCGCAGGUUCGAAUCCUGCCGGGCGCGCCA
rnacentral:tRNA from 1 species